UUACCAAGAAAAUGCAGCCCUGUUGGUUUUUAUUUCUGUAUCGCAUCGCGGUGAGUUUCUAUUUCUUGGUAAUUCGGUUUGUGAAAUGACUAUUAAUUACAAGCACAGCAUCAUCAAUGGUGAUUGCAAGAACUACUGCCAUCCCUGCGGUUUUUCCUCUUGGUAAAUGCGUUCUGGUCGUGACCAAUGGUGGUCUCCCAAAUCGGCCGGGAAUAAGGCUAUUGUUGCAGAACAAAACGCCGCAACCACUGCUGUGGUAAAUAUGUUCCAGCAGAACUGCCCACCGCCGCCGGUGUAAUGAUUUCGAUAGCUGAACAAACGCCAUCUCCUGGGCAUUCCCACAGC